rnacentral:rRNA from 1 species
AUACGGAGGGUGCAAGCGUUGUUCGGAAUUACUGGGCGUAAAGCGCGCGUAGGUGGUCUGUUAUGUCAGAUGUGAAAGUCCACGGCUCAACCGUGGAAGUGCAUUUGAAACUGGCAGACUUGAGUACUGGAGGGGGUAGUGGAAUUCCCGGUGUAGAGGUGAAAUUCGUAGAUAUCGGGAGGAAUACCGGUGGCGAAGGCGACUACCUGGCCAGAUACUGACACUGAGGUGCGAAAGCGUGGGGAGCAAACAGGAUUAGAUACCCCAGUAGUCC